rnacentral:rRNA from 1 species
UGAGGAAUAUUGGUCAAUGGACGGAAGUCUGAACCAGCCAAGUAGCGUGCAGGAUGACGGCCCUCCGGGUUGUAAACUGCUUUUAGUUGGGAAUAAAAAGAGGGACGUGUCCCUAAUUGUAUGUACCUUCAGAAAAAGGACCGGCUAAUUCCGUGCCAGCAGCCGCGGUAAUACGGAAGGUCCAGGCGUUAUCCGGAUUUAUUGGGUUUAAAGGGAGCGUAGGCGGAUUGUUAAGUCAGUGGUGAAAGACGGUGGCUCAACCAUCGUUAGCCAUUGAAACUGGUAGUCUUGAGUGCAGACAGGGAUGCUGGAACUCGUGGUGUAGCGGUGAAAUGCUUAGAUAUCACGAUGAACUCCGAUCGCGAAGGCAGGUGUCCGGGCUGCAACUGACGCUGAGGCUCGAAAGUGUGGGUAUCAAACAGG